rfam:Schistosoma margrebowiei strain Zambia genome assembly, scaffold: SMRZ_scaffold0000846
AUCCAGAUGACGAGUCCGAAAUAGGACGAAACGCGCGUCCUGGAU